UCCUUCAAAAAAAACCCAAAUCCUCUCUCCCUCUCUCAGUCUGUCAGCCCAGAAGCCGGCGAGGUGCAGGCCGAGCGCCGCCGUGGCCCGGUCGCUCCGGCCACCGUACACGGUGGCCGGAAAUCGCCUCAGGUAUAAAUUUUUAAAUUUUUUUUUCUUGUUUUAUAUAUUUAUUUAAUGAUGCAUGUUGUUUUAAUAAACAUAAAUAAUAUGUGCUAAUAAUGUUCAAAGAAAGAGUAAAAGAAAGGGCAAAAUAAUAAAUAAAAAAACAGUAGAUAGACCUUUAGAUCGGUCUUCGAAAUUCUGUGCUGCAAGUUCGUGUUGUGUUACAAAGCCUUUUUGAUUGUUAAUCUCCUUGAUAUAUUUCGAAUAGAAUGAAAAUUAAGAGCCUAAAAAUCCAACCCUUACACCCGAUCCCUAUUGUGGCUUUUAUAGCCUAUUUUUUCAGAUCUUCUUCUCUGCGCAUUGCUCUUUCCCUUUUAAUGCUGCAGGUACAAGUGGGCGGUGGCACAGUGGCGGUGCUUGCAGGAGAUGUGACUGGGGCGGUGGGAUGGGACCGAUGGUAAAGGCAGCAGCAGUUUGGGGGGCUAGGGUUUAUUAUUUUUUUGUGUUAAGGUUUUUUUGGGCUGUAAUUGUUUUGGGUUGGGCUAGGCUAUUUGUUUAGUUUAGGUUUGGGGAUUUUGGGCCCAAAAUUGGGCUUGUACAGCUGCCCCUCUUUGCUUGUUGUCGUGUAACGAGAACAGAGCAAAGACUUAAGAAAGACCAAUUUUGCCUGGUCUCACCGUGUUUGGACUUGUUUAGCGCUCCUUUUCUUCAGGUAGCUUCAUUCCAAUCUUGUUGCUUUGCUCCGCUUCACUGCUCUACUGCAACUCUAUGGAGAUAAGACAUGUGACUUCGACUAACUCUACUGAAACUUCAAGGAGAUCUACUGUGGCUUCAAUCAACUUCGCUGAAACCUCAAGGAGAUCUGCUAUGGCUUGUAACCUCUUCAGCUCUAUUUUAAAGAGAAGAGAUUUGUAAUUUCUAGCCUGUUACCCUACUGUAUAGGGGUUUUAGGCCCAUCACAUUUGAUCUGUUUCCCUACUUUAAGGGUUUAGAUCUGUACAUUCAACCUGUUGCCCUACUGUUUAGGGAUUCAAGGUCUGUAAGUUUGGCUUGUUACCCUACUACUUAGGGGGUUAAGCGCAUUAUCUUCGAUCUGUUUCCCUACUGCUUAGGGGGUUAAGAUCUAUAAAUUCAGUCUGCUCCACUGCGACUUCAGGGAGAUGAGACUCGCUGGAUUCGAUCUGUUCCAUUGCAACUUCAGGGAGACAAGAUCUAUAAUUUUCAGCCUAUUACCCUACUGCUUAGGGGGUUAAGGUCUGUCAUCAUUGAUCUGUUUCCCUACUGCUUAGGGUAAUAAGAUCUGUUAAUCCUCAGCUUGUUACCCUACUGCUUAGGGAGUUAAAGCUUGGUGAUUUGAAUCUGCUUCACUGCAUCCAAGGAGGCAAGAUUCGAUGUAUUUGAUCUGCUCCACUGUAACUUUAGGGAGGCAAGAUCCGUGAUUUUCAGCCUAUUACCCUACUACUUAGGGGGUUAAGGCCCACUUUCUUUGAUCUGUUUCCCUACUGCUUAGGGUGAUAAGAUCUGCAAAUUCGGCUUGUCACCCUAGUAGCUUAGGGGGUUAAAGCCCUUUGAAUUCAACCUGUUACCCUAUUGCUUAGGGGUUUAAGGUCUGUAAAUUUAGUCUGCUCCACUGCGACUUCAAGGAGAUGAGACUUGUAACUUCAAUCUGCUUCGUUGAGACUUCAAGAAGACAGGAUUCACUGGAUUUGAUCUGUUCCACUGCAACUUCAGGGAGACGAGAUCUGUAAUUUUCAGCCUAUUACCCUACUGCUUAGGGGGUUAAGGUCUGUAAAUUUAACCUGUUACCCUACUGCUUAGGGGCUUAAGGCUUGGUGAAUUCACUGAUUCUAGGGACAUGACCUGUAGAAUCAAUUCUAUGUAUUUAUGCAUAUGCCAAAGAAUUAGGAUGCUAUGAUUAAAGUGAAUCAAAUGCUCCUAAUUAGAUACAUUAUGAAUGAUCUAUGAAUGUAUGAAUGCAGCAUGUUGUGAGCGUGAAUCCCUGUUUAGGCUGCCAUUGCUCUUUGUUCAUCAAGGUUCCUUCACUGAAAUGGUACCCUGUCUUUUUGUUCAGCUCCAAUUUGAACAGAAGACCCGAAGAGGUAGUCCCAAUUUAAACUCUUUCUUCUCAGAUGUUUCCAAUCUUUGAGUUUAGUUAGUUCUAAAAAAAUAGUCUUGUUUCAUGUUCCUGUACUAUUUAGAAACUUUCAGAGUAAUAUGCAGAACUCUUUUUGCGAAAAUGGAUUUAGUCCAUUAAUCAUCAUUUCAAUGCAAAAUGCUUGAAAAGGAUCAUAACAAUGACAAAAUUGAAAUUUAUCAGAAACAACAUUUAAAGGGAAUAGAUUAAUCACAAUCAACAAACAUUGUUGGAAUACAAAAUGAAUAAAAGGGAAUAGGUGCCCCAGAUAUCGCAGCGUGAGUUUCUCUGUAUUGACUUCUUGAGGACUCAUUUUUUGCCCAAUAUGUGUUUAGGGGAUCUAGAGUACUCUUGCAGAUGUCCCAAGAUGUAACAUCUCUCCUCCUUGUUAAUUUAGGUACCAUAAGACCAUCACAUGCCCCACCUUUGAUCAAAAUUUGAAUCGCCCUUUACGGGUUUUCAAUUCAAAAUCCUUUUGGUCUCAAGGUGCUCUUUGCGAGUUUUCACCUUGGCCUCUCCCUUUUUUUUUUAGGCGAAGUAUUUCUUAACCAAAUCCGAAUUCACAGGAUUGGAUAAGGUCUUGCCAUCUAUUUCAGCCAAUAUCAAUGCUCCGCCAGAAAAGGCUUUCUUCACCACAUAAGGCCCUUCCCAAUUUGGCAUCCAUUUUCCUCUGAAGUCCUUUUGUAUGGGCAGGAUCUUUUUCAGUACUAGGGCUCCCUCGUGGAACUCUCUGGGACGAACCUUUUUGUUGUAAGCUCGCACCAUUCACUUUUGGUACAUCUGACCAUGGCGAAUAGCCCGUAGCCUCUUUUCUUCAAUCAAAUUCAACUGAUCGUAUCGGGACUGGAUCCAUUUUGCUUCAUCCAACUUUACUUCUGACAAAACUCUGAGGGAAGGAAUCUCGACCUCGAUAGGUAAAACUGCCUCCAUCCCAUAAACUAAUGAGAAAGGCGUUGCCCUAGUAGAAGUUCUGAUAGACGUUCGAUAAGCAUAGAGGGCGAAUGGUAGCUUCUCAUGCCAAUCUUUAUAAGUUUCUGUCAUCUUUCCUACAAUCUUCUUGAUGUUCUUAUUGGCUGCUUCGACUGCACCGUUCAUCUUCGAGUGAUACGGUGAUGAGUUGUGAUGUCUGAUCUUGAACUGACUGCAGACAUCCGCUAUCGUACUGUUGUUCAAAUUCAAUGCGUUGUCAGAUAUGAUCCUUUCCGGUAUUUCAUAUCGACAAAUGAUUUCCUUUUUCAGGAACUUGCUAACUGCUAAUUUAGUGACAUUGGCAUAUGAAGCAGCCUCCACCCAUUUGGUGAAAUAAUCGAUGACCACAAAGAUGAAACGAUGCCCAUUUGAAGCUUUUGGUGAAAUUGGUCCAAUCACAUCCAUGCCCCACAUCGAGAAAGGCCAUGGCGAAGUCAUGACAUGCAGAAGUGAGGGAGGUACAUUAAUCUUGUCUCUAUAGAUUUGGCACUUAUGAUAUCUUUUGGCGUAGUUAAUACAGUCUCCUUCUAUGGUGGACCAUUAAUAACCGAACCUAAUAAUUUGCCUGGCCAUUGUAAAACCAUUAGCAUGUGUCCCACAUACGCCCUCAUGGACUUCUUCCAAGAUUUUCUUAGCCUCAAUGGCGUCUACACAUCUUAAUAGUACCUGAUCCUUCCUUCUUUUGUACAGGAUCUCCCCAUCUAAGACAUAGUCACUGGCCAGUCUUCUCAACGUUCUCUUGUCGUUCUCAGUAGCUUGGUCGGGGUACUCACGAUUCUUCACAUAUCGUAGGAUAUCGUGGUACCAAGGGUGAUCAUCAUUUUCCUCUUCUUCUUCGAGGUUGUAACAAUGAGCUGGGGCCUCGUAAAUGCUCAUUUGGAUUGGUUUCACAUCCUCUGGUUGGUUCAUCUUAAUCAUAGAAGCUAAAGUUGCUAGGGCGUCAGCCAUCUGAUUUUCUUCUCGUGGGAGGUAGUAGAAGAUAAUAUCAUCAAACUCUUUAAUUAACUCAAGGAUCAACCUCCGGUAAUUGAUCAAUUUGGGGUCUCUUGUCUCCCAUUCACCUUUGAGUUGAUAAAUCACUAGGGCAGAAUCUCCAUAUACCUCUAACACCUUGAUUUUACGUUCCAUGGCCGCACGUAUUCCCAUGAUGCACGCUUCGUAUUCUGCCAUAUUGUUCGUGCAGUCAAAAUCCAAUUUACUAGUGAAUGGAUAAUGAUCUCCGUUCGGGGACACCAAAACUGCCCCGAUUCCGUUACCCACAGCAUUUUAUGCUCCAUCAAAAUUUAGCUUCCAUGGGCGACCUUCUUGAGGGUCUACUUCAGUGGUUGCAACGCACAUUAGAUCUUCAUUUGGGAAAUCAAAGUUCAGAGGCUCAUAGUCCUUUAGGGCUCUGCUGGCUAGGAAAUCUGCUAUCGCACUCCCUUUUACGGCCUUCUGGUUCACAUAGACUAUAUCGAAUUCAGAAAGUAGAAUUUGCCAUCGGGCCAUUCUCCCGUUCAAGGCAGUCGACUCCAUCAAGUAUUUCAGAGGAUCCAUUUUAGAGAUCAGCCAAGUUGUAUGGUACAACAUGUAUUGUUUCAGUCUUCGGGUUGUUCAGAUCAAUGCACAGCACAACUUUUCAAUAAACAGGUAUCUCGUCUCACACUCAGUAAACUUUUUACUGAGGUAAUAUAUCGCUUUUUCUUUCCUUCCCGAUUCAUCGUGCUGGCCAAGCACGCAUCCCAUAGAAUUUUUAAAUACCGUCAAAUACAGUAUCAGUGGCUUAUCUGGAUUAGAUGGUGUCAACACUGGGGCAUUAGACAAAUAUUGCUUAACUUUGUCGAAAGUCUUCUGGCAUUCCUCGUUCCAACCACCAGGGUUGUGUUUCUUAAGGAGACGGAAUAUGGGGUCACAUUUUUCGGUUAGUUGUGAAAUAAACCGAGAGAUGUUAUUUAGUCUUCCUAGGAAUCCUCGAACUUCCUUCUGAGUACGUGGUGGAGGUAACUCUUGGUGGAGGUAACUCUUGUAUGGCUUUGACUUUAUCUGGGUCAAUCUCAAUCCCUUUUCCACUAACCACGAAUCCUAGCAGUUUUCCAGACCUGGCUCCGAAGGUACAUUUUGCGGGGUUGAGUUUCAACUAGAAUUUUCUCAACCUCAAAAAUAAUUUUCUCAAGACUUGCACAUGCUCUUCUUCAGUUCGAGAUUUGGCGAUCAUGUCGUCGACAUAGACUUCAAUUUAUUUAUGCAUCAUAUCAUGAAAUAGGGUUACCAUGGCUCUCUGAUAUGUUGCUCCCGUAUUUUUCAAUCCGAACGGCAUUACUUUAUAGCAAAAGGUUCCCCACAUGGUCAUAAAUGUGGUUUUAUUCAUGUCUUCAGAAUGCAUCUUGAUCUGAUUGUACCCCGAGAAACCAUCCAUUAAGAAGAAGAGUGAGUAACCUGCCAUGUUGUCCACUAAGAUGUCGAUAUAAGGCAACGGGAAAUUAUCUUUCGGGCUGGCCUUGUUUAAGUCUCUGUAGUCUACACACAUCCGUACCUUUCCAUUUUUUUUAGGGACGGGGACGAUGUUGGCUACCCAUUCCGAGUACUUAACUACUUGUAAGAAACCAGCAUCAAAUUGCCUAUUGACUUCCUCUUUUAUCUUCAACAGAACAUCGGGCCGCAUCCUUCGAAGCUUUUGCUGAACUGGCUUGCAUUCUUCUUUGAUGGGGAGCCUGUGUACCACAAUGUCAGUACUUAGCCCAGGCAUAUCCUGAUAUGACCAUGCAAAGACAUCCUUGAAUUCUUGGAGUAACUCAAUAAGGUCCCACUUUGUCUCUGUGGUGAUGCAAGUUUCGAUCUUUACUUCUCUCAUUUCUAGUUCAUCUCCCAAGUUCACGACUUCUACGGUCUCUUUGUGGGGUAGAAUCUGUUUCUCCUCGUGUUCUACCUUCCUUAACAAAUCAGGGGACAAGUUACAGUCUCCGUCAUCCUCAAAGUCUUGGGAUCCCUCCAGACACAUAUCUCGCUCAAAAGGAGAUUCUAAAUUAGUAGCAACGUCACUCGCAUCAUUGAUAUCUGGAGACCUGUUGUAGGUGUGAAGGAAGAUGCAAAGAACAAGAGAAUGUAAGAACAAUGAUAUGUGUGGUAUGAUCAUGAAUGAAAGAAUAAAAGAAUAUUUGCACGAAAUAAGUCAAAAGGAUGCAUUUCAUUGAAAUAACAUUCAUAAGCCUAUUUCACAAAAUGACACUUGUUACCCCUAGGCCUAGAGCAAUAAAUGUGUUUUGGACAUUACUCUGAGUUAGUUCUAAAGACUACAGGAAUCUCUUCCGCAGUCCAAUUAUUCAGAACACUUCCCGGCUCAUAGGGGCGAAUGCCUGACAAAUUCUCUGCCCCCGUCCCUUCUUCAUAUGUGGCGUUGAUGUCCAAACUCUCCAUCAUUCCUUUGAAGAUUUCCUUUCCCGAUGUCUUCCACUCGGAGUGAAUGACCCCUCCAGACACAAAAGUCUUCGAUAUAUGAGGGAAGAUCAUUGGUUCCCAUUCGAUUUCUCCCCCGCUCAAUCGCGCUCUCCUUCUUUCUUGCUUCUUCUCAAGUUCCUUCUUUCUUUGUUUCAUGUCCGGCUUAAACCCUAACCCAAAACGGUCUUGUUUAUCCUUCAUCAUUGGUACAUUAAUCCUUCCCUGGAGGUAUCUCUCGAGUCCUCUUUCAGGUAGAGCCCCCUUUCCCACAGUUAACCGUAGUCCCAUUCUUGUAGUGUCAGAUAACCUGGGCAUUAGAAUCUUAUUUCCUUCGAUGAUGAACGUCGCAUUCACAAACUCCAAAGAUUGAAAAGAGCACUCGAUCGCUUCAUCAUUUGUCUCCAGAUAUGGGGCAUCACUGGUUAUUACCGCGAUGAUGUCCUCUUCAGCAUUGAUUGUUACUAACCGACCUUCGGUCACUAAUUUCAACUUUUGAUGCAGCGAUGAAAGGACUGCCCCCGCUGAGUGUAUCCAUGGCCUCCCCAAUAGGCAAUUAUACGAAGGCUUAAUGUCCAUGACCAAGAAAUCCACCUCGUAUGUGCUCGGCUCGAUUAAGAGGGGUACUUCAAUUCUCCCCAUUACCCUCCUUUCCGUACCGUCAAAUGCUCUCACUACACUUUGGCAUGUCUUCAUCUGGGAACUGUCCACUGGCAACCUACUCAGCGUAGAUAAGGGUAGGACAUUCAGUGCAGACCCAUUGUCAAUCAAUACCCCCGGUAACGUGUACCCUUUACAGCGAGUCGUGAUGUGCAAAGCUUUAGUUGAUCCUCGGCCCCUUGGCGGUACCUCAUCGUCAUUGAAGAAUAUGAAGUUGUCGGCACUUAUAUUGUUAACUAAGCGGUCUAGUUUGUUUACAGAGAUAUCGUUAGCAACAUAAGUUUCAUUCUGCAUCUUCAUCAAUGCGCUGCGAUGAGUUUCAGAACUUCAAAGUAAGGCCAGUACCGAUAUACGCGCUGGCUGUUUGUGCAACUGUUCUUUGACACUAUAUUUGCUGUGCUUUAGGAAUUUUAAGAAUUAAUUGGCUUCUUUUUCAGUUACUGAUUCAUUAACAGUUGGUUCAUGCCCCGCCGGCUUCUCUUUCUUUUGCUCAAUUGCUAAUGAUUUUUCCUUAACCUGCUCGACUUUUGUAUUUGAGGUAUAACGCCUUUCGCUGCGCGUAUAAAAACCUUCUUCUUGAACUUCUUCUGACGUAUUAAUCGGGGUCUCUUCUCCCGGGAAUGUCACAUUGCAGCUAUAGUUUCACGGUACCCUUUUGCUAUCUUUAUAAGGAAAAACAACGAGCUUUUGGAUCACGACCUUUGGCGCAACUCGUGCCCCGGCUUCAUUCAUUCUCGGACGUGAUAUGAUAACCACUAGGUGGUUGACUUUGUAAACAUCCUUCGUCGACCUCUCUUCGGAGGCACACACAUCUGCUUCUUCCAGGUUCCCGAUAUAUUCGAAGAAUUCCAGCUCCUUAUUAUCCAUCAAUCCUUGUAUUAAAGCCCUGAAUUGGCUGCAUUUCUGGAUCUCGUGAUCCUCUUGAUCGUGGAACUCACAAUAAUUCUUCGCUUCUCGAGGCCUGACCCCUGAAUUCUGUGCUAUCAAACCUCUUUCCACCAUUUUCUUCCAUACUUCUUUCAACGGGGUAUUCACUUCUGCAAUAUUCAUCUUAAUUUCUUUCCUCGAACUCUCGAUUAUCGCAUUUAUUCCAUUGUCGUCAUGGUUAGGUAAUGGAUUCUCUGCACUGGAUGUAUCAUCAAAUUUUACAAUCCCCAUGUUGAUGAGUCUCUCAACUAAUUUUUUGAAAGUGGUACAGUUUUCUAUCGAGUGUCCUGUGGCUCUCGCAUGGUAUUCGCAUUGGGCAUUUGCGUCAUACCAUUUGGGGUAUGAAGGUUGCAUUGGUUUUAGAUAGAAGGGAGACACGACAUGUGCAUCAAAUAAACUCUGGUAUAACUCCUUGUACGCCAUUGGGAUGGGCGUAAAUUGAAGUUUCUCCUUAUUUUGUUUUGUGUUGGGCUCUUGUCUGGGUGGGUCCUGCUGUCCAGUAGUUGUUGACCUUGGUUGGCUUACGGUGAUCGAUUUUGAAUAUGAGCUCACAUUAUUCACCUCGUGCUCUUUCUUUCUCGGCGCUGACCUCUUAGCGUUUUACCCAGCCUCUAUUUUCCCACAUAUUAUGGCAUUUUCUAUCAUUUCUCCAGACAUUACUAUGUCCGAAAAACUCUUGGUUGCGCUACCCAGUAUGUGGUUAAUAAAAGGUGCCUUCAGGGUAUUGAUGAAAAGCAUAGUGGUUUCCUUUUCCAACAGAGGGGGUUAGACCUGUGUGGCCACUUCUCUCCAUCACUGGGCGUACUGCCUAAAGCUCUCAUUAUGCUUCUUCUCCAUAUUCUGUAAAGUGAUUCUAUCAGAGGCUAUGUCUGCCACAUGACCGUACUGCUUCAUGAAGGCUUGUGCUAAAUCUUUCCAUGAACUGAUCUGGGCGCGACUCAGCUGGUUGUACCAUCUAGAAGCAGCUCCAACCAGACUUUCUUGGAAGCAGUGAAUUAAUAGUUGGUCAUUAUUGACAUGGCCUGCCAUUCGUCUGCAUAACAUAGUGAUGUGAGCUUCGGGACAGCUAGUCCCGUUGUAUUUCUCAAAUUCUAGAGUUUUGAACUUGGGAGGGAGUAUCAGGUCCAAAACCAAACUUAAUUCCUUAGCAUCGAUUCCACCACGAUAGUCGGCGCUUUCCAUUUCUUUAAAUUUUUCUUCCAACCAUCUACACCUUUUUUCCAGCUCUCUCGGGAGUUCUACCAUUGUCUUUUCUGCUUCCGUUACUUUAUCGAGAUUGAAGACCACAGGGUUGGUUGGGUUGUCCCCCGGAUUAGAGCCCGAGCCGGCCUGAUAAUUCAUCGGUGCCGAAACACCGGCCUGAAAUGGUUGGGGCCUAAUUUUGACCGAUGGCCUUCUUGGAUACACGUCAGGUUGUAUUUGAACGUCCGCUGGGGCAAAACCCGGAGGGUAGGUAGGAUCUUCAUUAUCUUCUCCCACAUUGAUCAAAGGGCUUUUUUCUUUUUCUAAUCCACCAGCCAAUAGACGAGUUAAUGGGUCCAUCAUACUUUUCUGGGACUCCAACAUAUGGUCCCUCAUAUCUUGCUGGAUUUUGGCAAGCUGUUCUUGCAUAUGUGUUUGUAAUUGAUCCUGCAUCUCUUUUUGCAUUUGUUCCAAUAUUUCUAACCUUUGGUCCAUUGCUCUUGUUUUUCCCAUUGUACCGUAACGAUGUUCCAUGGUAACUGCCAUGAUUUAUAGGGUUUCUUGUGAGUUUUAGUACGUAUGAUGCAAUGCUGAUGCAUGAACGCAAUGAAUGCGAUGAAUGCAAAAAAAGCGUUGAUUCCAAUUCAAUUUCAUUAGAGUAACUUUUCUAGAAAACAAGUUUCUUUACAUAGAAUAGAUUACAUGUAAGGCUUGGCCCUGAUACUUAAGGCCUUGACCUGCCUAAGAAGCCAAGCUAGCUUUUUUCCUCGGUCCGAUUCUGGCUCGUAUUUUAAACUCAGCACAUCAGCUUGUACUGCUAAUUUUUGCAAGUGAUCAGCCACUUCUCGCACUUGAGUCAAAGCUUCGCCCAUGACGUAAUCCCUGCUCCUGACUUGAUCUUGAGAUUGAUGAAGUUACUCAUUCUAUCGCUCGUUAUUUACUUCGAGGAGUUCUAUCUGAAGUUCACGAUUUUGCAGCGCUGUUUUGAGUUCUUCUAUAUUCUCUUUUAAUUCUUCGAUUCUGUUUCGACUAGCUUUCAACUCGAUCGCAGAGUUACGCGAGCGAUACUGAUACAAUGACCUCUCUAACUCUGAUACCCAGAUCUUUAACCCUUCUUUCUCAUUCUGGCUUUCCACCAAACUUCUUUUCAGAGCACAUUCUCGAGCUUGAGCAUCGCAAAAUUUUUUCUCCCACUGGUUGGCUUUGCUUUGUUCUUCUUUAACUUCAUGUCGCCAAUUUUCGGAUGUUUUUCCUAACCCAGCGGUUCUCAUUGAUCUGCGCAGCUUCUUACAGUCCGUUUUAAAACUGUCAAAGUCCUAUUCAGCCUUAUUUUUCCCUUUUUUGAGCUUUUCAGCUUCUAGUUUCUGGACAUCGACAUCUAACCCUAAUUGCAUCUUUUCUUUUUCCAACUGCUCGAUCAUUUUUUCUAGCUCCAGACUCUUUCUCUCGAAAUCUUGCCUGAUGAUUUCUAGCUCAGAUGAGAUUACUUUCAAGCGCUCUUCUAUCGACUGAGGAUUCCCUUGAUCUGAUGUAAGGAUGUUGUCGUUAAUCCUCUGAUUCCACCAUCGGUCGUACUCAGGAGUAGUCAUGGGAUUGGCAGCAAGCUUCUUCAUUCUACGAGUCUCGUUCUAAGCAUUUGAUAUCUCGCGAACUUUCUUUUUAUAAUUAUUUCCUACGAACACGAACUCGCAAUGGGCUAACCCGUAUGUUGGUGGUGUAAACUAUCUGGAUCUGUAUUGUCGCAAUGCAAGCAGAGGAGCAUACCCGAUGGCCCUCCAUACUCCUAACAAGGGAACCCAAUCGAAGUCACCGCAUCGGUAUAAUAUUUCAUCAGGAACCAUCCACGGGGCUCUCCAUUCAACAUCUUCUUCUUGCAGAUUUUGGAGCACCGUCAUCUAAUUUUCUUCUGUCACAUCAUCUCGCCUCGGUGUAGCCACUAACUCUUUCAGCAGAGAGUAAUUUUCAGAGAAGAUACGAUACGUGACCUUUUCCACUUUUCAAAAAUGGCUAUGGAACCAGGAUAGCAAGAGCUGUGCACAUCCAAUAAAUCUCCCUUCACCCGCUCUUCUACAGGCAUUUAAUGAUCUGAAAGUUUCAGCCAAGAUUGCGGGUACAGGUGUGGUUCCUUUACCAAGCCUGUCAAAAAGAUCAGCAACAGCCUCGUCUACAUGCCCCAAAGCUUUGGGGAAGAUGACCAGUCCAUAAAUGCUCAAGGCGAAGACAUCUACCCUUUUCUUCAAGUCGGGGUGCGCUAAGACUAGAUCCCUCAGGUUCCUCCAAGGAAUGCAUUUACAAUCUCCCUUUUGUUUGAUCCGGGCUGUCACCCACUGUUCGCUCAUCCCUGUGAUGCUCAUCAGCUUUUUUGAAAAUGCUGGGACGUUAGCAGGUAUGGCAUAAAUUCUGUCAACCUGAAUCUUUGGGCAAUGGAGCAAGGUCGUGUAUUCUUCUAUAGUAGGUACCAAAUCUACUUUCCUGAAGGUAAAGCAACUGUAAGCAGAAUUCCAAUAUUGGGCAAGGGCUCGAAACAGGUGUUCAUCUAUCUUGACAUCGAGCAGAUAAGGUAAAUCACCGUAAUGACAAUAGAAUAGCUGCUUGACCUCAUCAUCCCACUGACCCCAAAUUUCUUUCAUCUCUUGGAGAUUAUUCUGAGUUACGCUGAUCCGAGUAAAAUUCCAUAACUCUGACAUGUACCCCUUGGUAAGACUGUUGCCUUUCUCUUGUUGUGUUGUCUCAGCCCAUAUCCGGACAGCCGCGUUGUCUUCUACUUUAUCAAAAACCCCUUUUCCAUGAUAAGCUAUCUAUUUAGGAACCGAAUGCGAAUCAACACCUUUUACAAUGAAAAUGCCAUGCAAAUACAAUCAAAGUAAAACAAAGCAAGUCAGUAAUUUAUACACAGUUCGAAGCAAACAAAGAAUAAUGAAUAUAGCACUUGCUCAGGUGACCACUAGGGUUUCGGAGUGGCUCUACCUAGGGCAGGUUCUUAAGGCUCGCUACAUGGGGUUUAAUUCUAGAGUAAGGGUACCUGAACCAGCAGAUUCCUCGAUCUUCACCCAUUAUAGGCUCAUACAGACCGAGUUCAGUUCAGGGGAAUACAUUUCCCUAUGGCUGCACGGAGAUGAAAAUCCCACGAACACAUAGGUACGGAUGUAUCUCGAAAGUGAUCCACUAUCCUGCACGGAGGUGAAAACCUCACGAAGGAGUAGUUUCUCACUCCCACUUAAAGGGGUGUGACCACAGCGGUCAUGCAAUGCAAUAUGCAAAACUAUUUAAAGACUCGAAACAACGCAGCAGGUAUUGUACCACAAAAAUAGCUGAUGAAAUGUAAUGAAAGGAUCGUAUUUCAAAACCAAAUUUUCAAUUUUCGAUAAAAAGACAAAAGUUAAUCAACUUGUGGCUUGACUCUCUCAUUCGUGUCCCCAGCGGAGUCGCCAAGCUGUCGUAACCAUUUUUUUGAAAAAAAAUGGGAAUCAACUUGGAUUUUGAAAAUGAACAAAAAAAAAACGAGAGUCGCCACCGAUCCUUUUUGACUAGGUGUGAUCGGGUCACCUCGUUACAGUGGUUGUUUUUAAUAAAUAACUUGAUUUAUUUAAAUAAACAACUUUGGUCUACGCAAAUCAAGAAAAUAGGUUCGGGAGUCGGUUACGCACGAGGAAGGAUUAGCACCCUCGAUACGCCCAAAAUUGGUACCUAGUUGAUUAAUUAGUGUCUUAGUGUCGAAGAUUGAAAACUUGGAAGACUUUUGAAAUAUGAUCCUUCUUUGUAAAGAAAAUGCUUAAAUAUUAAAGACCUUCUCGUCUCAAAAUAUGAAAUGUCAUAUCCAGUGAGUUAGGACACAACAUCUUGAAUCUUCGAGAGCGAGCUUGCCUUUUAUAAAAUCUGUGUAUUUUAUUAAAAGGGUAUUCGAUUAUUUAGAGUAAACGAGAGAAAUCGAAACCCAGUAAGUUAGGGCACAUUUUCUCGAAUUCCCAAACACCGAAUAUUGCCUUUAUUCCAAAACAAAUUCUUAUUUCGAGAUGACAAAAUGUCAUACCCGGUAAGUUAGGGCACAACACUUCACAUCUUCGAGAAUAAGUAUUUUUCAAAACUCGUAUAGUGAUUUAAAAAGAAUAUAUUCCGUUAUUUAGGUUAAAUGAGAAAAGUCGAAACCCAGUAAGUUAGGGCACGAUUAUCUCGAAUUACCUAAUACAUGAUAUUGCUUUUAUGAAAGAAUUGUUUGAAUAUAUUGAGUGACAAAAUAUAACGUGAUUUAUAAAAGCAAAUUUUGGUAUUAAUAAUAAUGUAUAAUAAUGAGUGUGACGAUAUCAAAAAUAAUAAUGUGAGCAAUUAUAUAAAAAUGAAAUAAUAGCAGGCCUAGUAAUGUGUAAAUAAACAAAUGCAUGAAGAGAAUAAAACCAUCGAAUACAUGAAUAAAUAAAUAAAGAUGCAUAAAACAUGACAAAAGAAAAAUGACAAUGAUGACGAAAACAAUAAUAAUAGCAAUAGUAUAAAACGAUAAUAAUACAUAUGGUAUUAAAAUAUAUAUAAUAAUAGAGACAAAAAAAUAUAUAUAUGAUAUAAAAAAUAUACGAGAUAUAUAUGAAAUGAGUACAUAAUAGUUAUAAAAAUAUACAUAAUAGAAUGUACAAACAAUAUGAUAUUUACAAUAUAUAUGUACAUAAUAUAUAUGAUAUGCAUGACAUAAUAUUAAUAUACGUGUGCAUAAUAUGGAGUAUUAUAUAUAUAUUAAAAGGAUGCAUAUAUACAAAUGCAUUAACAAAACAAUAAUACCAAAAAAUAAUAUAUAAAUGUAGACGUAUAUGUAUAUGUUUAGGUUAAAGAUAUAUACACAUGUAAUAAUACAUACACUAAUAUUAUUAUCAAAUAUAAUGGGAGCAAAAAUAGAUAUAACAUAUCUGUGUUUAGUAUUUAAGUGCAUAUACAUGAAAUAUACCUUGGGAAUAAUAAUAAUAUAUAAAAACUAUAAACAUAUACAUAAAAUAUAUAUAUAAGUGUUAAAUGGAAAAUAAAAAGAUUACUAAAUAAUAUUAUAAACAUGCUAAUAGUAACAAUAAGAAUAAUAACUAAAAUGAUAAAUAAUAUUAAAAAUAAAAAGAAGGGAAAAAAUAAUAAAAAAUCGUAUUAAAUAUGAAAAAGGGACUGAAUUCGAAACAAAACGAAGUUUCGGGGCCGAUUUAAAAAAUAAUAAAGGAGAAAUGGACUAAUUUGAAAACGCGCACGACUGCGGAGGGCCAAAAGGGAAAUUUUCCCGAGUCCUUAAAACGACGUCGCAGAAGGGAGGACUGAAUCACAAACGCUAUAAAUUCCAGGGCCAAUUUAAAAGAAAUUAAAACCUGAUUGCAAAACAUAUAAAAAGCGGAAGGACCGGGCAUGCAAUUAGCCAUUAAGAGCAAAAACACGCGGAUCCCAGGGUAAGACGGGUCGGGUCUUCGGGUCGCGCCUAAACGGCGCCGUUUCUGGUUUUUAAAAUGGCCGGGCAAAACGGUGCGUUUUGCAUGUUGUUUUAAUAAACAUAAAUAAUAUGUGCUAAUAAUAUUCAAAGAAAGAGUAAAAGAAAGGGCAAAAAAAAAAUAGUAGAUAGACCUUUAGAUCGGUCUUCGAAAUUCUGUGCUGCAAGUUCGUGUUUGUGUUACAAAGCCUUUUUGAUUGUUAAUCUCCUUGAUAUAUUUCGAAUAGAAUGAAAAUUAAGAGCCUAAAAAUCCAACCCUUACACCCGAUCCCCAUUGUGGCUUUUAUAGCCUAUUUUUUCAGAUCUUCUUCUCUGCGCAUUGCUCUUUCCCUUUUAAUGCUGCAGGUACAAGUGGGCGGUGGCACAGUGGCGAUGCUUGCAGGAGAUGUGACUGGGGCGGUGGGAUGGGACCGAUGGCAGAGGCAGCAGCAGUUUGGGGGGCUAGGGUUUAUUAUUUUUUUGUGUUAAGGUUUUUUUGGGCUGUAAUUGUUUUGGGUUGGGCUAGGCUAUUUGUUUAGUUUGGGUUUGGGGAUUUUGGGCCCAAAAUUGGGCUUGUAC
rnacentral:lncRNA from 1 species